UAGCGUGAGGGUGCCAAGGUAGCGAAAUUCCUUGCCUUUUAAUUGUAGGCCUGCAUGAAUGGAUUGACGAGGGCCAACCUGUCUCUUGCUUUGAAUAAUGAAAUUGGGUUAAAGGUGAAGAUACCUUUAUAUAAAAGUUAGACAAGAAGACCCCGUGCAGCUUUUAAAAUUUUCCUUAUUAAGGGGAACAAGAUUUUUAGGUGGGGCGCCUAGGAAGUAAAACUUAACCUUCUUAUUUGUUUUAAAGCUACCUUCUGGUGUAGACCCGGCAAGUCCGAUCAUAGGAGAAGUUACGCCGGGGAUAACA
rnacentral:rRNA from 1 species